UACGAAGGGGGCUAGCGUUGCUCGGAAUCACUGGGCGUAAAGGGCUCGUAGGCGGUUUGUCGCGUCGGGAGUGAAAACUCAGGGCUUAACCCUGAGCCUGCUUCCGAUACGGGCAGACUAGAGGUAUGCAGGGGAGAACGGAAUUCCUGGUGUAGCGGUGAAAUGCGCAGAUAUCAGGAGGAACACCGGUGGCGAAGGCGGUUCUCUGGGCAUUACCUGACGCUGAGGAGCGAAAGUGUGGGGAGCGAACAGG
rnacentral:rRNA from 1 species